GUCUCUCUCUCUCUCCAGGUGACAAAGAAGCUGCUGGUGCUGGUUCUGAAACAGUUGCCUGGGUUACCAAUGUUUGUGUGUUGGCUUUCCAGGAUGGCGGCCGGAUUCAUGACGCCACAUCUUGGAGGUGGACCCCCGGAGGAGCCUGUUGUCACAUUAAGGCAUAGCGGUCCUCGCUGGAGGGGAAGCACUGGAUGCUCGGCCUGACUGUUGCCAAGGUGAUCCAGAGGAUCUCCUGGGAGGAGUGGAGGCUCUGCUGUUGGAGGAGGACACAUGGGGCAGAGGAUACGUCCUCCUCCUCAUCCAGGAUCUCCACGUCACCCUGGACGUCUCUUACCUGGAUUCUCUCUGCAUCUUCACCUGCCAGACAGAGCAGGAGGAAGAGCGAGUUCUUCCCUCCCAGAGACCAGGAGAGGCAGCGACGGGGAAGAACACCUCCUGUCCUGGGAAGGAGAGUCUCCAGAGCUGUCUUCUUGGACUGAACUCGGGCCCUGCAAACUGGGCCAGUGUUAGCCGCCUGGUGGAGGCCGUUUGCAACCGGCUCUGCGUCUUCACCCGGUGGCCACGUGGUCCAGAGGGACCGUGAGGACUCGCUGGUCAUUCAGUCUCCAGGAUCAUGUGGCAUCAGAGAGGCAGUGCUGGCCGGCCCCAGGUUGAUGGCUUCAGACCAACAUCCAGCUCUUUGAAUUGAAUUGAGACUCAGUGAUGCUGGCCAGACUCUCCCUUCAGCAAAGGGUCUGUCCUUGGUCCAGGUGGGACAAGGACAGACCUUUAACUUCAAUGUCCUGGAGGAGCAGCCUUGGACCUCCAGCAGGGGUCUGCCUCCUCCUCCUCCUCCUCCUCCUCCUCCUCCUUCUCCUCCUCCUCCACCUCCAGAGAAUGAACAGCAUGGCCCCUCAUCCAGUGCUGUUGGUCCUCCCCUCGCUCCAGCACCACUCCCCUCCUCUGUUCCUCCACCUCCUCUACCUGGACUACCUGUACCCAGGACCAGAGCCUACAGGAAGAGGAAGGUGAGCUGAAGCUGCUGUGGCAGAGCGGGGGUCGCUUCCUGGAGGAAAAACCCCUCUGGCUGCCAACGUCAUACAUCUGCAGCAAGUGUGUCCAACCCAGAAGAGAACUGGAUGAAUCUUAUUUAGUAACAAGUAGAAAUUAUAGUAGAAAUAUAAAAAAACUGACUGAGGUCAGUGUCAGGAUGAGUCUCUACGACAUGAAUGAAACUGAAAGUAACGUCCUUUGUACAGAUUCAGUACAGAUGCAGUUUCUUGCCUUUUACUUCAUUUCUACUGUUGUUGAUAAAUGACAGUAACAACAUUUGAAGAGCAGAAUGUGUUCAGCUCCAGCACAGUCACCACCUUCACAGGUGAAAGUAUCGACCAGUUUAACAUGAAAACGGUGUUCAGUAGGAAACAGAUGGAACUGACCCACCAGAACUGCAACCUGGAGCAGAACCAGACUCUUCAUAGAUGUGAUGCUGUGACCUCAGAGACGGAUGUGUUCACCUCACACACUCUUUAGUGUGAACUGAACAUUGAGUUCAGAUUGUGAAGCAGUUGUCAGUGUAGCUCAUGUAGCUCAUGUAGCUCAUGUGUUUGCGGACCGACUGGAGAUCUAGUUUAUUGAACAAGGUUCCCUGAGCUGGUGGAAUCUGGUGCCACAGCAAAUGAAUUGGUCAUUGUGAAGUUUGUACUGUUUUCUUUUAUGGUAAAUGAUGCACAAACACACAGACUAGUAAAGUCAAUGCAGGAAGAGAAAAGCAAGAAGCUCCUUGGUUCAGCUUCAACCCUGGUUCUUUCUUGCAGUGUUUCUUGCAUGCUCAUUUUUAUGCCUUACUAUACUACUUUACUGUUUUUGCCAAUUUUCAUGAAAAUUUUAUUCUUUAUUUAGACUGAGAUUUUAAUGACUAUUAUGCUUUAAUAUUGUAUGACAUUUGGUAAUGUUUUCAUGCCUCACUAUACUAUGACAAAAAUUUCAUGACUUAUUAUACUAUGACAUUUUGCUUGACAAUUUUAUGCCUUACUAUACUAAGAUGUUAUCAUGCCUUAUUAUACGAUGAUGUGAUUAUGCCUUACUAUACAAUGACAUUUGUUUGAUUUUUUUUUCCUUAGUAUAUUUUGAUAUUUUUAUGACAUUUGAACAGCUAACUAUUUUAUUACAUUUUUUUUAUUAUUUAUGUUUAUAUUCUUCUGUUGUUAUAUUAAGUAAUUAUACUUUCCCUGUAGAUUAAUUUAAUUAUUGUAGACUGUUUUAUCUAAUUGUCUUUACUGAACCUCAUUGUCAUUAUUCUCUCCAGCAAAUUAAGUAAAGCCUUUAAAUUUGCUGUUUAUUAUAAUUCAUGUUUUAGUGUUUGUCCCAAAUUUUGUCUUUUCUUGUGAAGGCACUUUGUCACUGUGUUUUGAAAGGUGCUGUUUAAAUAAAACUCAUUUUAUUCUUUUUUGAUGACAUUCCUGUGCCUUAUUAUACAAUAAUUUUUUUUUUACAUUUUUAUGCCUCUUUAUACUAUCACACUUUGACGUACUAGGCCAUACUAUACUAUGAAACUUUUAAAAAUAUUUUUUCAUGAAAAUUUUAUGCCUUAUGGUAUUUUUAAUAAGAUUUUUAUAUAUAAAUUCAUACUACAAUAUCUUUAUAAUUGUAUUAUUUCGUCUCAUGUCUUGCCAUACUAAGACGUUUUUAUG